UCUCGUCUGCAGGGGGCGUGCUGGUGGAGCUGUCUGCUUUUGAAUGGGGGUGUGCUCUGUUCCCAUCAGCACUGGUGAGCAGCAGCUGAGCGCUUCCCAUCAUUUCUCUGUAAAACCUGCCGGAGAAAAACUCGCUUAGCUGCAGCUGAUACCCGAGCAAUCAUGUUCUGCAGACGGGCAUGGCAGAGAGUCGGGCCGCUGGCACGGAGGUCUUUCAAGCCGACACACAGAUACGCUCCGGUGCGACACAUGGCCUUCGGUGUUCCCGGAGGCUCCACCAACAUGACGUACUUUGUUUUGUGUGGUGGCGGCCUCACUGCGGCAGUUGUUUAUGCAUACAAGACGGUCAAUGAUGAUACCGAGCGUUACGAGGAAAGACUCGCCAACAUGGGCUCCAUGGCGAAGGCUUCUUCAGCAAAGGCAGCACCAGAGGCAGCUCCACCUGCAGUUGAGCCUGCACCGGUGGAGGAGGAAGCCCCUGCUGCUGAGGUCAUUGCUGAGUCGGCCACUGCUGCUGCUGCAGAACCUGUAGGAGAGACAGCUGCUGAACCUGUUGUGGAAGCUGCAUCUGAAGAAGCAGAAGCUGCCGCCGUCUCUGAGGCGGUCGUUCCAGAGGCAGCAGCUGAGACGGCAGCUGAGUCGGCAGAGACGGAGGACGCCGCUCCACCUGUGGAGGCAGAGGUGGUUGCUGAAGCAGCUCUGGAGGCCCCAGCAGAGGAACCAGUGGCAGAAAACGCUGAGUCUGCACCAGAGCUGCUCACAGAUGUUAAGCUCUUGACCGGCUCAACAGCUGAAAUUGCUGCUGCUUCUGUUGGUGAGAAGAAUCCGAUGGAGACUGUCCAACAAACUGAAGGUGAAGGAAAGGGACACAAGGUGCUUGAAACAGAAGCUUUGGAAGAAGCCUCAGAGGCAGUGGCCAAGGAAGCAUCUGAAGAGGGAGCAGUUGUAGAAGGUGAGGAGGAGGUGAAGUCUGGAGAGGGUGAGAAAAGUGCAGAAGAUGCUCAGACUCCAGCUGCUGAAGAAGUGAUAGCGGAGGUGACAUCUGCUCUGGCUGCAGCUGUGGACAAGGAGGCAGCGGCUGGAUCUCAUCCUGAGGAAACAACAUCUCCAAUGCCCACUGUGGACGAGGCAGAGGCUGAAGUUCAACCUGCUCCUGAGGAGGCCAUCGCUGCUGAAGAUGCUGCUGAAGAUGAGGCUGUCUCCUCUGAAGAUGCUGCUCCUCCCGAGGAGGCCACAGUCACCGGUGAAGGUGCCCCACUGGAUGAGAUUUCAUCAGCUGACCAGGCAGCAGCUGAAACAUCUGCAGAGGAGACAGCUGAAGCUGCUGUCAGCACAACUCAGCUGGCAGCAGCCUCCGUUGGAGCAGACCUAGAGGUUCUUUCAGUUGCAGAAGCAGAGCCUACAUCAGGAGCUCCUGUGCAUGAGGAGAAGCCCUGCCACUCCUGCCACUCUGCUCCCUCAGCAGGAGAGGAGGUGGCGCCACCUGCUGCUGUAGGAGAGGAGCUGAUCGCCGACGGAGCUGUGGAUACUUCACAAGAAGCCAAGGACGCAGCCUCAGCACAAACCAUGGAGGCGACGGUGGUGGUGAUAGCCCAGUCGUGACGGGACAGACAGUGUGCCUUCCACAACACUCGCCUAUCUGUCAACCAAGCCAGAGCGACCGGCGGAAAACAAAAAACAUGAAUAGAGGUAGUCACAGGUGUAACUGACUCGAACGUCCUUUCUGAAAUGUUAUCAGAGUUGUCUUCUGUAUUAGUGCUUGUGAGGUGAUUCCUAUCAUGUCCUCUAGGUGCCACUGUUGCAAAACCUUUCAUGAUCAGCUGAGGCUUCUUUAAAUCUUUCAGUAGGCAGUGGAAGUGGGUUACUGUAAUACUGUGUUUUAUUUUAGUACUGUGAUAGACCACUUUUAUAGAUAAUAAGCUUGCCAAUGUGGACAAGAAUUUUUAAUGGGAGUGUCACCUCAGUGUGAUUUACCUGCUCAUAUCAGCUCACAUACAUGUAAUAACUUUGUUUCAGAACCAGAGUUACAAAGUUCUUCAAAAUAUUUACAAAAAACAAUCUUAAAACAGUAGAAUGUUUAUAAAAUGAGAACUGCACAAAUAGAUGUAUAAAUGUGAGGAAAAGCAUCAGGUUUAAUAACAGAUAACAAAAUCCAAAAGAGGCAAAUCACAGACAAUGAAGUGAAGAGCAGGGGCAUCUUCAGAAUUUUUUUUCAUAGGAGUGGCCAUAUGGGGGCCACUAAAAAUAUUGGGAAUUUCCAGUUUUAUUAUGCUGUUGUCAAAUAUUGGUUACUUAAAAAAAUGAGAAGAGAAGAGAAGAGAAGAGAAGAGAAGAGAAGAGAAGAGAAGAGAAGAGAAGAGAAGAGAAGAGAAGAGAAGGGCAGGACUAUUUAUACACCCGGGGCUAACCGGUUUUGUGUUACUCUAACGAAAUGGUACUAAAACAGGAGAAUGAGACACAGGUGAAAGUAAUCAGGAUAUUCAGACAGAUGAGUAAAACCCAAAACAAACUAUCAAAAUAAAAUAAAAAAACAAUCCACAAGACAGGAAGAAACACUGAGGGAAGUAAGCAUGUGAGAAAUCCAUCUAUCCAUCCAUUUGAGUGUGAGUUAUCUUGCCUGUUGUUACAGGCUGUUCAGUUCUUUUACAACACAGUGAGAGCUUGGUCCGUAUUGCCAAUAAUAAGUUGGAUUUAGUCCUGAUCGCAGUUUGACAGCCAGUGCUGUCCUCUGUCGGGGAUUAUAUUCCUAAUUUCUAUGGACAGGAUUUCUGUGUGUAGCCAAGCACUGGAAAGUCUCCGGUUUUGUGGCUGCUCGAUCUCAAGUGCUUUGAGUGCUCAAGCAGAGUAGAAAAGUGCUAUAAGAAUCAGUCUAUUUACCAUCUAAUAUCUGUUUUUAUGGAUGUGGUUCUGUUGGCUUCAUCAGGUGACCUCCUCCAGCUCGCACUGGGGUGGUUCGCAGCUGAGUUUGAAGCAAUGAGAAUGAAAAUGAUCUCCUCUGAGCCUGGGUGGAGUGCUCACUCUGGGUGAGAGAUGAGUUGCUGUGCUAAGUGAAAGAGUCUAAGUAUCUUGGGGUCUUGUUCACAAGUGAAACGAACAGGAGACUGAUAAACAGAUCAGUGUUCCAUCCGCAGUGCGGACACUGUACCGGUCUGUUGUGGUGAAGAAAGAGCUGAGCAUGAAAAUAAAGCUGUCCAUUUACCAGUUACCAACCUUACCUAUGGUCACAAGCUCAAGGUAGUGAAUACAAUAAUGUCAUCUCAAAUACAAGUAAUGGAAAUUCCUCUAACUUAGAAAUCGGGUGAGGAGCUCAGUUAUUUAUGAGUGGCUUAGACUGGAGCCGCUACCCCUCAGCACUGAAAGGAGCCAGCUGAAGUGAUUCAAGCAUCUGACUACGAUACUUCCUGGGUGCCCUCUGGGUGAGGGCAGACCCAGCACACGCUGGAGAGAUUAUAUCGCUCAGCUGGCUUGGACACAUCUUGCUGUCGCCAUAAAUAAGGUGGAGGAGGUGCCUGUGUAGAGGGAGGUCUGGGCUUCUCUGUGUAAGCUGCUCCCCCACAAUCCAAACCCAGAUAAGCGGCAGAAGAUGGAUGGAUGGAUGGAUGGAUGGAUGGAUGGAUGGAUGGAUGGAUGGAUGGAUGGAUGGAUGGAUGGAUGACAAUCUUUUUCUCAUAAUACAAAGGCAGGUACUUACAUGACUGUCUUAUUAUCCAUAUAUAUUAGAAUUUUCUAGGUUUUAGUCUUCCUCUACAACUACAAUAAAAAAAAUAAGUGGGGUUUAAUUUACUCAAAGGAAAAAAGAAUUUUGUUUGUCAAAUGGCAGAAAAAUAUUGUGGUUGUUUAUAUUUUAGCUUCUGCAACAAAAGUUUGCUUUGAGUGGUUUAAAUAUUAAGUAUGUGAACGUCAGUGCUUCCAGUUAUGUAAGAGUGACACAAAAGCUUUAUUUUACAUACAGAAAUAAACAUGUUAUUGAUGCACUUUUCCUUCUUUUCUGAUACCACUAGCACCUAAAAUAGUUUAGAAAAAAGUGUUGAAAGGUUAAACACACAAACACAGACACAUAUACACACAUACGGAGGUGAAAAAUACCUGAUGCCAGAAAAUAUCCCGUAAACACACUUCCACAUCCAUACCAACACCUGUCUAUACUUACACAAAUCUCCAUUUAUGUGCAGACUGGGUAAGAGAAUAAGAGAAAAUGAUUGUAGAUAUACAGAUUGAAACUUUGUUUAAUAUAUUUGCAUAUUAAACAGUAACUUUAAAGCUUGUAAUUAGCAAAUUGCUCUGCAAAUGACUUCUCUGUUGUCUGAUAAUGUGCUCAAAUUUUAAAUAAAGUGAUGUAAUAAC
ensembl:lncRNA